UUCAAUCCAGAAGUAUUGUUUAGUGAAAAACAUGUUGGAGAUUAGCUGAUAGGCUCUCGAUUCAUUAAAUGAUCAGCUGUUUCCUCUAAAAAAAAAAAAAAAAAGGCCUCUGGUCUCCUUUCCCAUGUACUGGCAAACUGGAAGUGUUAGCUUUAGCCGUUACGCUUUUUUGGCUAAAGGUUGCAGGCUUGCUUUCUAGUGGCUUUGGUUCACCUCCUGAGUCUUCAGGUUCGAGUCGUUCGUUCAUCACGUGACAGCCCCAUAGACUUGACUAGAGGCUACACAGUUUGUACCGGAAAGAGAAAUGAUUAGUUCAUCUCCUGAGUCCUGGGGUCCGAGUCGUUCAAUCUUUUGUCAAUGUUUGCAUUAGAUGUGUUGGGGAAUUUGAAUAUUAACAUGUAUCAUUUUAAUUAUAUUCUGCUGAAUUGGACGAAAUUAACUAAAUGACUUGAAAAAGGAUUCGUUCAUUUUGCUGAACGAGAAUCAAAGAUCCGAGUCAGUAUAAUGAUCCGAACUUCCCAUCACUAGAACAUGAAAAUGCUGCUUGUAAUGUUAAAAUCCCAGCCAAUCAUAGAUAUAUGCUGAUUCUGAACCAAUGAGGAUUCUCAAGGGGUGGAGCCACCCUUCAUGACAAGAAACUGACAUUUGUAGAUUACAAUGGACUUGGAAAAUGUUGUACCUACAUUAUCGGGCUGAAUGUUUCCAGAGUAUCAUGAUUGUUUAGUUUUAUUUACAGUGGAAAACCCCUCUCAAAAUCACCAGUGAAUUCAAGAAUCAGGUUAGUUUUAUUUUCUUCACGACGUGUCUUUGCGUAUGAGAAAAUUGUUUUAAACGGACGGUGCGUUUUAAACAUUGGUCCAUUAAAACCAUUAUACCUGUAUCUCUCCAAAGGCCAUUUUUUUGGGAUUUUGUCUCAAUUUACACUUAUUAUUUACUCUAAUUUACCUUGUUUUAUCUAAUUCUAAUUUAUGUUAAUUCGGAGCUCGAAACGAAAUUCAGCAUUGAGUGCUGAAAAUCUAAUUGACCACCAAGUCGUUAAGACUGAUUGUGCAGGUGACAUUGAAAUAUUAAUUUUAAUAAUAAUAUCUAUGCAAAUUGGAAUACAAUUACUGAUUUGUCUGUACUUUUCCUGUGAAGAAAAAGUAGUGCUAUCUCUUCUUAAAAUCCUACAAACGCAUUUCUCAUACAAUUUGUGCUAGCAUGAGCUGAAUUAAUUAUCUUAAAAUGAAUUAUUAUCUUUAGAUUUAACGUAGACUCUUAAGAACUGUCUUUUCUCAAUUUUUUUCUACAGCUAAAAAGGAAAACGUCAAAUAUUCCUCCUCUUCUAAAAUAAAUAAUGUAUUCUGGCAUAUAUUUUAACAUCCCCUCUCAUAUUUUUUGUUAUUAAUGUGCGCAAACUUUUUAAAAUUAAAAAUAAAAGUUUUCAACUCGCUUGUUAUUAAUGGAGGAAAAACAACCCUUUUUUUAUUAAAUUUUUUUUCUCUCCCCUCUCAUACAUGAAAAAUACAUUCCUUUCUUAGUUUCAAGUUGUUGACAAUCGCUCAUCUGAACCCUGCACAACAGAACCUGCUGUCCACUGUGAGUUGUUAAUGCUGCCAUUUUUAUGGACACUAUAUUUAGUGAAUAUGAAUGAUGUCUCCCUGUUUUUUGCUUCUGUGUGGAACAGAGACUCUCUUGUUGUGACUCUGAGUCACAGAAAACCGGAUGGCCUUAAAAUAAACGAGGACUGAGCUCAUAGAGUGACUUGCACACUGAAUGUGAAGAAGAUUGUGGCUCAUGUUUACACCUAUAUGCUGUUGCCAAUGUGUGUGAAAUGCAACUAUUGUUUUUAGUGGAAUGUUCCAGAGCAAUGUUGAGUAUUUUCGGAGGAUUGCUGUAAGAUUGUGCAUAUAUACACUCUUAAAAAUAAAGGUGCUUCAAAAGGUUCUUCAAGCAAUGCCAUAGAAGAACCUUUUUUGGUUUAACUAUAAACCAUUCAGUCAAAUGUUCUUUAAAGAACCAUCUAUUUCUUACCUUUUUAUAAUCUAAAGAACCUUCUUUUGCCACAAGGUUGCCUUCAAAGGUUCUUUAUGGAAUCAUUUAGACAAAAAGGUUCUUCUAUGGCAUUGUGAAGCAUGUAUAUGUAUAUAUGUAUGUAUAUAUAUAUAUAUAUAGAGAGAGAGAGAGAGAGAGAGAGAGAGAACACAACCUCAUCAUGAGUAAUACAUCAUUUUAUAAAAUUGGUUGUGAAAUAUGCAUUAUAAAAAAUAAUGUGGAUUAAGUUGCAUAAAUGAACAUCGUACAAUAUAUGUCAAAACAAAAGAAAAAAAUAUUGUCUGAUUAAAUUGAAGCUACUGAA